UUAAGCGACUAAGCGUACACGGUGGAUGCCCUGGCAGUCAGAGGCGAUGAAGGACGUGCUAAUCUGCGAAAAGCGUCGGUAAGGUGAUAUGAACCGUUACAGCCGGCGAUGUCCGAAUGGGGAAACCCAGUGCAAUUCGUUGCACUAUCGUUAACUGAAUACAUAGGUUAACGAGGCGAACCGGGGGAACUGAAACAUCUAAGUACCCCGAGGAAAAGAAAUCAACCGAGAUUCCCCCAGUAGCGGCGAGCGAACGGGGAGCAGCCCAGAGUCUGAAUCAGCUUGUGUGUUAGUGGAACGGUCUGGAAAGUCCGACGGUACAGGGUGAUAGUCCCGUACACCAAAAUGCACAGGUUGUGAACUCGAAGAGUAGGGCGGGACACGUGGUAUCCUGUCUGAAUAUGGGGGGACCAUCCUCCAAGGCUAAAUACUCCUGACUGACCGAUAGUGAACCAGUACCGUGAGGGAAAGGCGAAAAGAACCCCGGCGAGGGGAGUGAAAAAGAACCUGAAACCGUGUACGUACAAGCAGUGGGAGCACCUUUAGGUGUGACUGCGUACCUUUUGUAUAAUGGGUCAGCGACUUAUAUUCUGUAGCAAGGUUAACCGUAUAGGGGAGCCGCAGGGAAACCGAGUCUUAACUGGGCGUUAAGUUGCAGGGUAUAGACCCGAAACCCGGUGAUCUAGCCAUGGGCAGGUUGAAGGUUGGGUAACACUAACUGGAGGACCGAACCGACUAAUGUUGAAAAAUUAGCGGAUGACUUGUGGCUGGGGGUGAAAGGCCAAUCAAACCGGGAGAUAGCUGGUUCUCCCCGAAAGCUAUUUAGGUAGCGCCUCGUGAACUCAUCUUCGGGGGUAGAGCACUGUUUCGGCUAGGGGGUCAUCCCGACUUACCAACCCGAUGCAAACUACGAAUACCGAAGAAUGUUAUCACGGGAGACACACGGCGGGUGCUAACGUCCGUCGUGAAGAGGGAAACAACCCAGACCGCCAGCUAAGGUCCCAAAGUCAUGGUUAAGUGGGAAACGAUGUGGGAAGGCACAGACAGCCAGGAUGUUGGCUUAGAAGCAGCCAUCAUUUAAAGAAAGCGUAAUAGCUCACUGGUCGAGUCGGCCUGCGCGGAAGAUGUAACGGGGCUAAACCAUGCACCGAAGCUGCGGCAGCGACACGAUGUGUUGUUGGGUAGGGGAGCGUUCUGUAAGCCUGCGAAGGUGACCUGUGAGGGUUGCUGGAGGUAUCAGAAGUGCGAAUGCUGACAUAAGUAACGAUAAAGCGGGUGAAAAGCCCGCUCGCCGGAAGACCAAGGGUUCCUGUCCAACGUUAAUCGGGGCAGGGUGAGUCGACCCCUAAGGCGAGGCCGAAAGGCGUAGUCGAUGGGAAACAGGUUAAUAUUCCUGUACUUGGUGUUACUGCGAAGGGGGGACGGAGAAGGCUAUGUUAGCCGGGCGACGGUUGUCCCGGUUUAAGCAUGUAGGCUGGUUAUCCAGGCAAAUCCGGAUAAUCAAGGCUGAGGUGUGAUGACGAGGCACUACGGUGCUGAAGUAACAAAUGCCCUGCUUCCAGGAAAAGCCUCUAAGCAUCAGGUAACAUCAAAUCGUACCCCAAACCGACACAGGUGGUCAGGUAGAGAAUACCAAGGCGCUUGAGAGAACUCGGGUGAAGGAACUAGGCAAAAUGGUGCCGUAACUUCGGGAGAAGGCACGCUGGUGUGUAGGUGAAGUCCCUGCGGAUGGAGCUGAGACCAGUCGAAGAUACCAGCUGGCUGCAACUGUUUAUUAAAAACACAGCACUGUGCAAACACGAAAGUGGACGUAUACGGUGUGACGCCUGCCCGGUGCCGGAAGGUUAAUUGAUGGGGUUAUCCGUAAGGAGAAGCUCUUGAUCGAAGCCCCGGUAAACGGCGGCCGUAACUAUAACGGUCCUAAGGUAGCGAAAUUCCUUGUCGGGUAAGUUCCGACCUGCACGAAUGGCGUAAUGAUGGCCAGGCUGUCUCCACCCGAGACUCAGUGAAAUUGAACUCGCUGUGAAGAUGCAGUGUACCCGCGGCAAGACGGAAAGACCCCGUGAACCUUUACUAUAGCUUGACACUGAACAUUGAGCCUUGAUGUGUAGGAUAGGUGGGAGGCUUUGAAGCGUGGACGCCAGUCUGCGUGGAGCCAACCUUGAAAUACCACCCUUUAAUGUUUGAUGUUCUAACGU
rnacentral:rRNA from 1 species